GACGAACGCUGGCGGCGUGCCUAAUACAUGCAAGUAGAACGCUGAAGGAGGAGCUUGCUCCUCUGGAUGAGUUGCGAACGGGUGAGUAACGCGUAGGUAACCUGCCUGGUAGCGGGGGAUAACUAUUGGAAACGAUAGCUAAUACCGCAUAACAGUAGAUGUUGCAUGACAUUUGCUUAAAAGGUGCAAUUGCAUCACUACCAGAUGGACCUGCGUUGUAUUAGCUAGUUGGUGGGGUAACGGCUCACCAAGGCGACGAUACAUAGCCGACCUGAGAGGGUGAUCGGCCACACUGGGACUGAGACACGGCCCAGACUCCUACGGGAGGCAGCAGUAGGGAAUCUUCGGCAAUGGACGGAAGUCUGACCGAGCAACGCCGCGUGAGUGAAGAAGGUUUUCGGAUCGUAAAGCUCUGUUGUAAGAGAAGAACGAGUGUGAGAGUGGAAAGUUCACACUGUGACG
rnacentral:rRNA from 1 species